GAUGAACGCUAGCGGCAGGCUUAACACAUGCAAGUCGAGGGGCAGCGCGGGAUAGCAAUAUCCUGGCGGCGACCGGCGGAAGGGUGCGUAACGCGUGAGCGACAUGCCCGUUGCCCGGGGACAACCGGUGGAAACGCCGACUAAUCCCCGAUGGGAUAUUGUGCCGCAUGGCACGAUAUUGAAAGUUACGGCGGCGACGGAUUGGCUCGCGUCCGAUUAGCUUGUUGGCGGUGUAACGGCCCACCAAGGCUGCGAUCGGUAGGGGUUCUGAGAGGAAGGCCCCCCACAAUGGGACUGAGACACGGCACAUACGCCUACGGGAGGCAGCAGUGAGGAAUAUUGGUCAAUGGGCGGAAGCCUGAACCAGCCCUGCCGCGUGCGGGAAGGAGGCCCUAUGGGCUGUGAACCGCUUUUGCCUGGGGGCAAUAAGGGCGUCGCGCACGUCCGAUGAGAGUACCAGGCGAAUAAGCAUCGGCUAACUCCGUG
rnacentral:rRNA from 1 species